rnacentral:rRNA from 1 species
AUUGAACGCUGGCGGCAGGCCUAACACAUGCAAGUCGAACGGAGUGGCGGACGGGUGAGUAAUGUCUGGGAAACUGCCUGAUGGCGGGGGCUAACGUCCGGAAACGGUCGCUAAUACCGCAUACUAUCAGAUGAGCCUAGGUCGGAUUAGCUAGUUGGUGGGGUAAAGGCCUACCAAGGCGACGAUCCGUAACUGGUCUGAGAGGAUGAUCAGUCACACUGGAACUGAGACACGGUCCAGACUCCUACGUGAGGCAGCAGUGGGGAAGAUUGGACAAUGGGCGAAAGCCUGAUCCAGCCAUGCCGCGUGUGUGAAGAAGGUCUUCGGAUUGUAAAGCACUUUAAGUUGGGAGGCGUUACCAACAGAAUAAGCACCGGCUAACUUCGUGCCAGCCGCCGCGGUAAUUC